rnacentral:lncRNA from 14 species
UUUGAAUAUUUUGUAUUAUAUGUUUGGACAGCUUUGCCUGUUUUGUACGACAUUCAUGAAGUAAAACUCUAAACCUUGGUUGUGGUUAUAGUCAUUGCCAACUGACUCUCCCAUUACGUCAUAGUUUUUUGGUUUGUCUGCCCUUUAUCUACAUAAACAUAGAUCAGCAUACACUAAAAAAGUUCAAACUUUUGGUAAGAAGCUCAUAGCAGAUCUUGAGGGAGUAAAAAAGUUGCCACAUGAAAAAAAUCAUAAAAAUCUCCUAUGAGUCUUUAAAGAUCAGAGUUCCUGUCAGUAAUGUCAAUUAACUGAUCUGUUCUCUGUUGCUUUAGGCAAAGAGCUACUAUUGUGAGCACACCGUGGGACCAAAGAUACUUCUUUAAUUAGUCUAACUGAAGGAAAAAAUAUGAUGAUGAUGGAACUAGUGAUUGAAAUUAUGUCAGAGAAGCAUGAAGAGCAAGAUGGAAAAGAACUGCUGGUGUUGAAGUCACCUUGUAAUUUUAGGAUUGUGACAGUACACUUGGAAAGCAUCUGGAAAGAGAGGAGGACAGAAUACAGUUCUACAGAUUUGAUCUUUUCAGCAGUAUAACCUGUUUUAAUUCUAACCAAAGAUCACUGGAAUGGGAAGAGGACUUAAGAAAUUGUGAAGAAGAUUUACUUCCCUAAAGUUCUGUUAAAAAGGAGACAGA